UUUUUGUUGAAAAGAGUCAACUUGAAAAUACCCUGUGUCCAAAGCCAAGUUGGACAAACGGAAGUGGGUGACUUUGAUUUAUGAUACUAAUUCAACUUAAAUUUAAAAAUUAUUCUUUUUUUAUAUUUUAUGCCCUAUCAAAUGCAACUCGACCGAUACAGCUCUUCCCACAUUCUCAAGAGUAUAUAAUAAUUAAAGCCGAUUCGAAGCACUAGAAAUCAAAACGAUAGAAAGCAAAAGAAAAGCAAACACAAACUUUUGUAAAAAAAAAAAAAUAAGCAAAAUGAAAAACAAAACAUUUUUGGAGUAAAAAGCACAUUAGACGAACGUAGUUGAAAGAAUAUUGCGACGUCUUCAAUCUAAACUCGUAAUUGCCCCGUCUACAAUUUAAUGAACGUUGUGCUAUGGCGUCUGCUUGGGAAAGUUGACAGUUUCAGUGCAAUUGCUGUUUCCACUGGAAAAUUGGGUGUGCAUGUGUGCAUGUGUGUGUUUUACACACACAGGCAUGUCUAUAUAUCAUGUGGAUGUCUACUUUCUAAAUAGUACUUAGCACUUUCAAUUGUACAUAGAGCAUAGCCAUAAAUAGCUGUAAAACAACAGACGAGAACCUCGACUGUGUAAUAGGCGCUAAUCAAGCAGCUGGCCAAAAAGUAAAUGUCUGCCAUUAAUUGCUCAAUUGUCACAGCAGCCGAGCUGUCUUUGGCUGGCGAGUUGAAUAAACCUCUUGAGCUACAGCUUGAACUUUGGCAACUGCUUCAGCGAGACGAUGCCACACCCACCAUAAGCCAGCACUGAAGUUGCCAUUUAGGUGGCCAGAAAAACAAGUUUCAAGAACGCAAAAGCCAAUUAGGAUGCCUUAAUGCUGAUCUUUCGUUCGCUGCAUUGAGCAAUCAAAUUAUAAAUAUCAAGUCGAGUGAUAGAGGAAGGCCGAAAAGUUUCGUUACAAAUAUUUUUUGACAACUUGAAAUUGUUGAAUGCACUUAAUAAAUUUUACAUUUAAAUAUAGCUCA